GCCAGAUGAUCCAGUUCCUCUCUGCAUGUCCUGGAUCUUCCAAAGUUGUCAUCCCAGUGCUGGCGCCCAAAGGGAGCAAGUUCAGAGCCACUAACCCCAGACUCUUCUCAUGUGACUUUAGUGAGUUUACUCCGUCUGCCCUCCUCUGGAGCCCAGGGUCAGUCACAUGUGAACAUAAGUCAGGAGCUGGACAAGCAUUACCAGGGUUCUGUGGGGUCCAGAGCAUCUUUCUCUGGUAUAUUCUCAGAGUCAACUGUAUGUGGAGCUAUCAACUUUAACUAGAAGAAACAAGACUAUGUUCCCCCUUCACGUGUGCUGGGAUCUCAGACAUCUGAAUUGAGCAGACUACAACAGCUGCAAUGAACGACGGGCUCGCUAACUGUCCAGGCUGGUGCUUCUGGUAUGCAUGGUACAAUCAGCCCAACUGCCAAUUCUCCUACAGGGAGCUAGACUACAUAUUGUUUUCAUUAUCUGCCUAUAUGCCCUCUGUUUUCACAUAAA